rnacentral:rRNA from 1 species
CCUACGGGAGGCUGCAGUGGGGAAUAUUGGACAAUGGGCGAAAGCCUGAUCCAGCCAUGCCGCGUGUGUGAAGAAGGCCUUCGGGUUGUAAAGCACUUUCAGUGGGGAAGAAAGCCUUGGGGCUAAUACCCUCGAGGAAGGACAUCACCCACAGAAGAAGCACCGGCUAACUCCGUGCCAGCAGCCGCGGUAAUACGGAGGGUGCGAGCGUUAAUCGGAAUUACUGGGCGUAAAGCGCGCGUAGGCGGUCUGAUAAGCCGGUUGUGAAAGCCCCGGGCUCAACCUGGGAACGGCAUCCGGAACUGGCAGGCUAGAGUGCAGGAGAGGAAGGUAGAAUUCCCGGUGUAGCGGUGAAAUGCGUAGAGAUCGGGAGGAAUACCAGUGGCGAAGGCGGCCUUCUGGACUGACACUGACGCUGAGGUGCGAAAGCGUGGGUAGCAAACAGGAUUAGAUACCCCGGUAGUC